rnacentral:rRNA from 1 species
UACGGGGGGAGCAAGCGUUGUUCGGAUUUACUGGGCGUAAAGGGCGCGUAGGCGGCCAGCGCAAGUCAGUUGUGAAAUCUCCGAGCUUAACUCGGAAAGGUCAACUGAUACUGCGCGGCUAGAGUGCAGAAGGGGCAACUGGAAUUCUCGGUGUAGCGGUGAAAUGCGUAGAUAUCGAGAGGAACACCUGCGGCGAAGGCGGGUUGCUGGGCUGACACUGACGCUGAUGCGCGAAAGCCAGGGGAGCGAAUGGG